AUAAUCAUGCAGAAAAAAGGUACUGAUUCGUCAGCAUAACAGGGAAUCCGGUGUGAAUCCGGAGCUGUUUCCGCAACUGUAAGUGCGUAUGAAAUAAGAAAAUGCCACUGUCUAAGAUAAUCUGGACGGGAAGGUUCUUAGAGUAAAUCGAUGCACAAGCCAGGAGACCUACCUUUUUUUGAACGUAUUU
rnacentral:ncRNA from 2 species